rnacentral:rRNA from 1 species
GCAUAUCAAUAAGCGGAGGAAAAGAAACUAACAAGGAUUCCCCUAGUAGCGGCGAGCGAAGCGGGAAGAGCUCAAAUUUAUAAUCUGGCACCUUCGGUGUCCGAGUUGUAAUCUCUAGAAAUGUUUUCCGCGUUGGACCGCACACAAGUCUGUUGGAAUACAGCGGCAUAGUGGUGAGACCCCCGUAUAUGGUGCGGACGCCCAGCGCUUUGUGAUACAUUUUCGAAGAGUCGAGUUGUUUGGGAAUGCAGCUCAAAUUGGGUGGUAAAUUCCAUCUAAAGCUAAAUAUUGGCGAGAGACCGAUAGCGAACAAGUACCGUGAGGGAAAGAUGAAAAGCACUUUGGAAAGAGAGUUAACAGUACGUGAAAUUGUUGGAAGGGAAACGCUUGAAGUCAGACUUGCUUGCCGAGCAAUCGGUUUGCAGGCCAGCAUCAGUUUUCCGGGAUGGAUAAUGGUAGAGAGAAGGUAGCAGUUUCGGCUGUGUUAUAGCUCUCUGCUGGAUACAUCUUGGGGGACUGAGGAACGCAGUGUGCCUUUGGCGGGGGUUUCGACCUCUUCACACUUAGGAUGCUGGUGGAAUGGCUUUAAACGACCCGUCUUGAAACACGGACCA